rnacentral:rRNA from 1 species
GACGAACGCUGGCGGCGUGCUUAACACAUGCAAGUCGAACGCUGAAGCCCAGCUUGCUGGGUGGAUGAGUGGCGAACGGGUGAGUAACACGUGAGUAACCUGCCUAUCACUCUGGGAUAAGCGCUGGAAACGGCGUCUAAUACUGGAUAUGUCCCAUCACCGCAUGGUGUGUGGGUGGAAAGAUUUAUCGGUGGUAGAUGGACUCGCGGCCUAUCAGCUUGUUGGUGAGGUAAUGGCUCACCAAGGCGACGACGGGUAGCCGGCCUGAGAGGGUGACCGGCCACACUGGGACUGAGACACGGCCCAGACUCCUACGGGAGGCAGCAGUGGGGAAUAUUGCACAAUGGGCGCAAGCCUGAUGCAGCAACGCCGCGUGAGGGAUGACGGCCUUCGGGUUGUAAACCUCUUUUAGUAGGGAAGAAGCGCAAGUGACGGUACCUGCAGAAAAAGCACCGGCUAACUACGUGCCAGCAGCCGCGGUAAUACGUAGGGUGCAAGCGUUGUCCGGAAUUAUUGGGCGUAAAGAGCUCGUAGGCGGCUUGUCGCGUCUGCUGUGAAAACUGGAGGCUCAACCUCCAGCCUGCAGUGGGUACGGGCAAGCUAGAGUGCGGUAGGGGAGAUUGGAAUUCCUGGUGUAGCGGUGGAAUGCGCAGAUAUCAGGAGGAACACCGAUGGCGAAGGCAGAUCUCUGGGCCGUUACUGACGCUGAGGAGCGAAAGCAUGGGGAGCGAACAGGAUUAGAUACCCUGGUAGUCCAUGCCGUAAACGUUGGGAACUAGAUGUAGGGCCUGUUCCACGGGUUCUGUGUCGUAGCUAACGCAUUAAGUUCCCCGCCUGGGGAGUACGGCCGCAAGGCUAAAACUCAAAGGAAUUGACGGGGGCCCGCACAAGCGGCGGAGCAUGCGGAUUAAUUCGAUGCAACGCGAAGAACCUUACCAAGGCUUGACAUAUACGAGAACGGGCGAGAGAUCGUCAACUCUUUGGACACUCGUAAACAGGUGGUGCAUGGUUGUCGUCAGCUCGUGUCGUGAGAUGUUCGGUUAAGUCCGGCAACGAGCGCAACCCUCGUCCUAUGUUGCCAGCACGUAAUGGUGGGAACUCAUGGGAUACUGCCGUGGUCAACACGGAGGAAGGUGGGGAUGACGUCAAAUCAUCAUGCCCCUUAUGUCUUGGGCUUCACGCAUGCUACAAUGGCCGAUACAAAGGGCUGCGAUACCGCGAGGUGGAGCGAAUCCCAAAAAGUCGGUCUCAGUUCGGAUUGGGGUCUGCAACUCGACCCCAUGAAGUCGGAGUCGCUAGUAAUCGCAGAUCAGCAACGCUGCGGUGAAUACGUUCCCGGGCCUUGUACACACCGCCCGUCAAGUCAUGAAAGUCGGUAACACCCGAAGCCGGUGGCCUAACCCCUUGUGGGAGGGAGCUGUCGAAGGUGGGACUGGUAAUUAGGACU